GCACGGGUGAGUAACACGUGACUAAUCUACCCUCGAGUGGGGAAUAACUGAGAGAAAUCUUAGCUAAUACCGCAUAACACUUACGAGUCAAAGCAGCAAUGCGCUUGGGGAGGAGGUCGCGGCCGAUUAGCUAGUUGGCGGGGUAAUGGCCCACCAAGGCGAUGAUCGGUAUCCGGCCUGAGAGGGCGCACGGACACACUGGAACUGAAACACGGUCCAGACUCCUACGGGAGGCAGCAGUGGGGAAUUUUGCGCAAUGGGGGAAACCCUGACGCAGCAACGCCGCGUGGAGGAUGAAGUAUCUUGGUACGUAAACUCCUUUCGAUAGGGAAGAUAAUGACGGUACCUAUAGAAGAAGCCCCGGCUAACUUCGUGCCAGCAGCCGCGGUAAUACGAGGGGGGCAAGCGUUGUUCGGAUUUAUUGGGCGUAAAGGGUGCGUAGGCGGUUUGGCAAGUCUUAUGUGAAAUCUUCGGGCUCAACCCGAAGCCUGCAUAAGAAACUGCCGGGCUUGAGUAUUGGAGAGGUGAGUGGAAUUUCCGGUGUAGCGGUGAAAUGCGUAGAUAUCGGAAGGAACACCUGUGGCGAAAGCGGCUCACUGGACAAUAACUGACGCUGAGGCACGAAAGCUAGGGGAGCAAACAGGAUUAGAUACCCUGGUAGUCCACGCCGUAAACGAUGGAUGCUAGCCGUUAGGCAGCUUGCUGCUUAGUGGCGCAGCUAACGC
rnacentral:rRNA from 1 species